rfam:Triticum urartu cultivar G1812 contig1095982, whole genome shotgun sequence.
CAAGUACUCCCUCCGUCCGGAAUUACUUGUCAUCAAAAUGGAUGUGUCUAGAACUAAAAUACAUCUAGAUACAUCCAUUUCAAUGACAAGUAUGUUCGGACGGAGGGAGUACAAG